rnacentral:rRNA from 1 species
UACGGGGGGGGUAAGCGUUGUUCGGAAUUACUGGGCGUAAAGGGCUCGUAGGCGGCCCGUUAAGUCAGUGGUGAAAGCCUCCAGCUCAACUGGAGAACUGCCAUUGAUACUGGCGGGCUUGAGUACAGACGAGGUAGGCGGAAUUGAUUGUGUAGCGGUGAAAUGCAUAGAUACAAUCAAGAACACCGAUUGCGUAGGCAGCUUACUAGGCUGUAACUGACGCUGAGGCACGAAAGCGUGGGGAGCGAACAGG